UCUGCCUGUGCCUCAGGUGCUGGGCCCUGCUUCAGACUUGCCCUUUGCCUUCCUUUUUCUAAAGCUGAGCACUGGGGUGCUAGAGAGAGAGGUCUCAAGGUCCUACCUGCUUUAGACUCCGUGUUGGCAUGGCUAUAUUCCUGUGACGGAUGAUCUGUCCAGCUGUUUCCUAAGUGGAAGAAGUGUUUUGCCAGUAUGUCUGCAUCAUAGAGGGCAGAAGAGCCCAUUGGAUUCCCUGGAACAGGAGUUACAGAUGAUUGUGAGCCACUGUGUGGGUGCUAGGAACCAAAGCCAGGUCCUCUGGAAGAGCAGCCAGAGCUUUAACUAUCUGAAGUAGAGCUCAUCCUUCACUGAGGACAGGCGGGCAAGGGGCAUGAGAGAACUUGGGAAUUAGUCCCGACCGCUAGAUAAAGCUGGUGCUAUCUUCCUGCUUUCAGAGGAUGACUCGGGCAUUUGUGCAUCGAAAUGAGGUACCUGUCAGUCGUGAUGGAUGGAGUCAGCCCACAGGGCAGUCCAGUGAGCUCGGUUUCCUGUUCCCCUGUGAUGGUGCUCAGAGACCAGUAUUAGGACCCUAAGUGGGAGGGUGUGUGUGUCGCAGGCCUAAGGGAUAGGCAAACUUUGUGUUGAGGUUCUCCAGGGAUAAGGAGAGUCUGUUUUUAGCCUUCUCCUGCACACAUGUGCAGUAAUUGUGUUCGCAUGUGUGCACGUGUGUGUGUGUGUGUGUGUGUGUGUGUGUGUGUGUGUGUGUGUGUGUGUGU